GGAGGGUUGGGAUCCCGCUAACAUGUUUAACCCCGCCACAUUAUUUAUGUAUGUGCCUGUCCCAAGUCAGGAGCCUGUAAUUCAGUGGUUGUCGUUUGUUUAUGUGUUACAUAUUUGUUUUUCGUUCAUUUUUUUUUUACAUAAAUAAGGCCGUUAGUUUUCUCGUUUGAAUUGUUUUACAUUGUCUUAUCGGGGCCUUUUAUAGCUGACUAUGCGGUAUGGGCUUUGCUCAUUGUUGAAGGCUGUACGGUGACCUAUAGUUGUUAACGUCUGUGUCAUUUUGGUCUUUUGUGGAUAGUUGUCUCAUUGGCAAUCAUACCACAUCUUCUUUUUUAUAUUAUCAAGUUU
rnacentral:lncRNA from 1 species